UGCCAGCUGCCGCGGUAAUACGGAGGGGGUAAGCGUUGUUCGGAAUUACUGGGCGUAAAGCGCGCGUAGGCGGAUUAGUAAGUCAGAGGUGAAAUCCCAGGGCUCAACCCUGGAACUACCUUUGAUACUGCUAGUCUUGAGUUCGAGAGAGGUAAGUGGAAUUCCGAGUGUAGAGGUGAAAUUCGUAGAUAUUCGGAGGAACACCAGUGGCGAAGGCGGCUUACUGGCUCAAUACUGACGCUGAGGUGCGAAAGUGUGGGGACCAAACAGGAUUAGAUA
rnacentral:rRNA from 1 species